rnacentral:rRNA from 1 species
AGAUUAAGUUAUUAAGGGCGCACGGUGGAUGCCUUGGCACUAGAAGCCGAUGAAGGACGUUACUAACGACGAUAUGCUUUGGGGAGCUGUAAGUAAGCUUUGAUCCAGAGAUUUCCGAAUGGGGAAACCCAGCAUGAGUUAUGUCAUGUUAUCGAUAUGUGAAUACAUAGCAUAUCAGAAGGCACACCCGGAGAACUGAAACAUCUUAGUACCCGGAGGAAGAGAAAGAAAAUUCGAUCCCCUUAGUAGCGGCGAGCGAAACGGGAAGAGCCCAAACCAACAAGCUUGCUUGUUGGGGUUGUAGGACACUCUAUACGGAGUUACAAAGGACGACAUUAGACGAAUCAUCUGGAAAGAUGAAUCAAAGAAGGUAAUAAUCCUGUAGUCGAAAAUGUUGUCUCUCUUGAGUGGAUCCUGAGUACGACGGAGCACGUGAAAUUCCGUCGGAAUCUGGGAGGACCAUCUCCUAAGGCUAAAUACUCUCUAGUGACCGAUAGUGAACCAGUACCGUGAGGGAAAGGUGAAAAGCACCCCGGAAGGGGAGUGAAAUAGAACCUGAAACCGUGUGCUUACAAGUAGUCAGAGCCCGUUAAUGGGUGAUGGCGUGCCUUUUGUAGAAUGAACCGGCGAGUUACGAUUUGAUGCAAGGUUAAGCAGUAAAUGUGGAGCCGUAGCGAAAGCGAGUCUGAAUAGGGCGUUUAGUAUUUGGUCGUAGACCCGAAACCAGGUGAUCUACCCUUGGUCAGGUUGAAGUUCAGGUAACACUGAAUGGAGGACCGAACCGACUUACGUUGAAAAGUGAGCGGAUGAACUGAGGGUAGCGGAGAAAUUCCAAUCGAACC